ACAAUUUUGAUGCAAAAGUGAACCUGAAAACAUGAUAAAAUGUGGACGCCUCUGAAGAAAGCUCCGUGUGUGUGGCCCGGUAGAUACAGACGAUACCUGAAACCCAAAUGCAAUGAACAAUUCAGACUUGGAGUACUUCAUUUGUGGAAACAGGUCAUGCAAUUUUGAUGCGAAAUGGAACCUGAAAACCUGACGAAAUGUGGACGCCACUGGAUAAAGAACAAUGUGUGUGACCUGCUAGAUACAGAUAACAAAUACCGAAGUGCAGUGAUUCUUUCGGACUUGGAAUACAUCAAUUAUGGAAACAGUACUCACAAGACAUUUACAGUGGGGUGUGCAGUUGAGAACAGUUCUCCAUCUACCCCUCAGUGCUCACCAGAAUUAUUCAAAGUGGGGCACUAAGCCAAUUCCAAGAAGCAGGCCAAGGAUGUCCUGGUAAGCAGCACAUUGUCAGUGCUGCGAGACAUACAGACAGCAAUGAAUGGGAGCAGUGCAGACGACAAGUUGGGCCAAUAUGUUGUAGCUGAGCUGAUUACAACUAAAAAUAGAAAAUUUAAGGCAGAGGCAAAGUGCCUUAUCAUGAAUGCCAUCAUGGGUGCCAUUCAGAAAGUUACUGGUUGUUGAUUUUUAAAUAAAA